AUUAAUGCAAGUGAAUUUUUUUGGUUUAUUGUAGUUAAUUUUUUAUUUGAGUUUUAUAAAGAAUUUAUUAGGUGAAAUUUUAUUUUUUUUUUUACUCUUUUUAUGAAUCUAUGAGACUUAAAUUAUAAACUAGGAUUAGAUACCCUAUUAUUUUAAGUGUAAAUUUUUUUACCUGGGUAGUUUUAGUUAAGUUCUUUAAACCCAAAGAAUUUGGCGGUAUUUCAUUCCAUUUAGAGGAACCUAUCUAAUAAUUGAUAAUACACGAUUAACUUUACUUAAUUUAUUUGUUUGUAUAUCUCCGUUAUCAGAAAAUCUUUAUGGAGGAAUAAUUUUCUUGUUUUUAAAAUAAAAUUUAUUUCAGGUCAAGGUGCAGCUUAUAAUUAAGAUUUUGAUGGGUUACAAUAAAUUAUGAUUUAUUAUGGAUUUAAUUCUUGAAAUUUGUUUAAUGAAGGUGGAUUUAAUAGUAAUUUAAUUUAUUAAAUUUAAUUGAUAUUGGCUCUGAAGGUGGUG
rnacentral:rRNA from 1 species